rnacentral:rRNA from 1 species
AACGAACGCUGGCGGCAUGCCUAACACAUGCAAGUCGAACGAGACCUUCGGGUCUAGUGGCGCACGGGUGCGUAACGCGUGGGAAUCUGCCCUUAGGUACGGAAUAACUCAGGGAAACUUGAGCUAAUACCGUAUAAUGACUUCGGUCCAAAGAUUUAUCGCCUAAGGAUGAGCCCGCGUCGGAUUAGCUAGUUGGUGAGGUAAAAGCUCACCAAGGCGACGAUCCGUAGCUGGCUGAGAGGAUGAUCAGCCACACUGGGACUGAGACACGGCCCAGACUCCUACGGGAGGCAGC